CACUUCGCUAUGGCUGUCGCCGGGAGAUGACCCGGCUGAUGGUGGAUUGCUCGUGGGUUCAAAUGGAGAUACGUAUUAUAUGCCACCUGACACGGCACGAAAGUUGGAUGACACUGUCAAGGAGGGAAAUCUUUAUGGACAAACUCUAGGGGAGAAACUUUGGAGUUUUCUUAUGUGGUGGCGUCGGGAAAAUCCGGUUGAUGAUGCUCCUGUGUCCCUGGAAUAAUAGUGUGGUACAAAUUAUUUGUGCGUUGCGCAGCUUACAUAAAAUAAAGCCCUUCUCAGUAUUUGCUGAUGCCCAUAUGUCCCUACGAUGAUACUGGCAAGUAUUUGCUGAAGAAACUUCGUACAAAUCUUUCUCAACAAACACUUUUGUUUGUGUUGUACAGCAUACGCAAAAAAAUAUAAUAAAGCCCUUCUGAGUAUUUGAUA